AUAUAAUGUUAAAAAAAAAAAAAAAACGAGAGCCCCAAAGCAGAUAAAUGGAUUACAUACAUUGUCAGUGUACGUUAAUGUGUUUAAUUGUUUGGGACAGCAUUUCUCCAACUUUCAUUGUCUGAAAAUCCUCCUCUGGUAAUAAGUUCUUUUUUUCUCAUUUAGGAAAAUUGUAGCUGAAUAUGAAAAGACUAUUGCUCAAAUGAUUGAAGAUGAACAAAGGACAAGUAUGACCUCUCAGAAGAGCUUCCAGCAACUGACCAUGGAGAAGGAACAGGCCCUGGCUGACCUUAACUCUGUGGAAAGGUCCCUUUCUGAUCUCUUCAGGAGAUAUGAGAACCUGAAAGGUGUUCUGGAAGGGUUCAAGAAGAAUGAAGAAGCCUUGAAGAAAUGUGCUCAGGAUUACUUAGCCAGAGUUAAACAAGAGGAGCAGCGAUACCAGGCCCUGAAAAUCCACGCAGAAGAGAAACUGGACAAGUAAGAGCUUGUAAAUUUUGAAUUUCACUGUUCAUGAUGUUGUGGGAAGAUUGAGAGAGGAAAAAAAAAUCACUGUUUCGCAACUCCAGGUUGUAUUUUUAUGUGUGUGUUUAUUUCACUUUUUAAACCCUUUUCCCAUUGUUAAAACAUUAAAAAGUAAAAAAAGGU
rnacentral:sRNA from 1 species